AUAUCUUCACAUAAAAUCUAGACAGAAGCAUUCUCAGAAACUUCUUUGUGAUAUUUGCAUUCAAUUCACAGAGUUGUACCUUUCUUUUGAUAGAGCAGGUUUGAAACACUCUUUUGUAGAUUCUGUAAGUGGACAUUUGGAGCGCUUUGGGGCUUAUGGUGGGAAAGGAAAUAUCUUCACAUAAAAACUAGGCAGAAGCAUUCUCAGAAACUUCUUUGUGAUGUUUGCAUUCUACUCACAGAGUUGAAUAUUCAUUUUCAUGGGGGCAGUUUUGAAACACUCUUUUUGUAGAAUAUGCUAGUGGAUAUUUGGACUGCUUUGAGGCCUUCGUUGGAAACGGGAAUAUCUUCACAUAAAAACUAGACAGAAGCAUUCUCAGAAACUUGUUUGUAAUGUGUGCAUUCACUUCACAGAGUUGAAACUUUCUUUUGAUAGAGCAGUUUUGAAACACUCUUUUUGUAGAAUCUGCAAGUGGACACUUGGAACACUUUGAGGCCUAUAGUGGAAAAGGAAGUAUCUUCCCAUCUAAACUAGAGAGAAGCAUUCUCAGAAACUUCUUUUUGAUGUUUGCCUUCAACUCACAGAGUGGAACAUACCUUAUCAUAGAGUCAUUUUGAAACACUCCUUUAGUAGAAUCUGCAAGUGGAUAUUAGGUACCCUUUGAGGCCCUCCUUGGAAACGAGAAUAUCUUCAUAUAAAAUCUAGACAGCAGCAUUCUCAGAAACUUCUUUGUGAUGUGUACAUUCAACUCACAGAGUUAAACCUUUCUUUUGAUUGAGAAGUUCUGAAACACUCUUUUUGUAGAAUCCGCUAGUGGACAUUUGUAGCGCUUUUGGGCCUAUAGUGGAAAAGGAAAUAUCUUCACAGAAAAACUAGACAGAAGUAUUCUCAGAAUCUUCUUUGUGAUGUGUGCCUUCAACUCAAAUAGUUGAAACUUUCUUUUGAUUCACCAGUUUGGAAACACUGUUUUUGGAGAUUCUGCAAGUGGACAUUUUCAGCGCUAUGCGGACUAUGGUAGAAAAGGUAAUAUCUUCACAAAAAAUCUAGACAGAAGGAAUCUGAGAAACUUCUUUGGCAUGUGUGCAUUCAUCUCACAGAGUUCAAACUUUCUUUUGACUGAGCAGUUUUGAAACUCUGUGUUUGUAGAAUUUGCAAGUGGACAUUUGGAUAGUUUUGAGUCCUAUGGUGGAAAAGGAAAUAUCUUCACAUAAAAACUUGACAGAAGAAUUCUGAGAAUCUCCUUUGUGAUGUAUGAGUUUAUCUCAGAAAGUUGAAUCUUCCUUUUGAUUGAGCAGUUUAGAAACAUUCUUUUUGUAGAAUCUGCAAGUGGACUAUUGGAGUGCUUUGUUGCCUAUGGUAGAAAAGGAAAUAUCCUCACAUAAAAUCUAGACAGAAGCAAUCUGGGAAACUUCUUUGU
rnacentral:lncRNA from 10 species